rnacentral:rRNA from 1 species
GGUAUCUACCUUCCGGCGGGGGACAACAGUCGGAAAGGAUUGCUAAUCGCGCAUACGUCAGCGGCGCCUACGGGCGCUGUUGGAAAAGAUGGCCUCUCCUUGGAAGCUGUCACCGGAAGAUGAGCCCGCGUCCCAUCAGCUAGUUGGUGAGGUAACGGCUCACCAAGGCUUAGACGGGUAGCUGGUCUGAGAGGAUGAUCAGCCACACUGGACUGCGACACGGCCCAGACUCCUACGGGAGGCAGCAGUGGGGAAUUUGGGCAAUGGGCGAAAGCCUGCCCAGCCACGGCCGCGUGAGUGAUGAAGGCCUUCGGGUCGUAAAGCUCUGUGGGGAGGGACGAACAAGCUCGGUGUUAAUAACACCGGGCCCUGACGGUACCUCCUUAGCAAGCACCGGCUAACCCUGUGCCAGCAGCCGCGGUAAUACAGGGGGUGCAAACGUUGCUCGGAAUCAUUGGGCGUAAAGCGCACGUAGGCGGUUCGUUAUGUCGGAUGUGAAAGCCCUUGGCUUAACCGAGGAAGUGCAUCCGAAACUGGCGAGCUAGAGUACUAAAGAGGAUCGCGGAAUUCCCGGUGUAGAGGUGAAAUUCGUAGAU